ACAUUGAAUAGAGAGAGAACAUUCCCUACUUGGUUUUGCGUGCUUUUCCAUUAUUGUUGUGGUGUUUGCCUAUUUCGGAGACACUCUCCACCAACACCCCUGGGAGAGGAGAGAGAAAAGGGGGGACAUAGCGCAGGGGAAGGGCAGUGAUGCAAUUUCUCAAUCCAGUGGCUCCUUUUAGUCCCAUUAGCUAGGUAUGACCAACUAAUGAUGAACUAGUUGUUAGUUGGGGUGUGUGGACUAAAAAAUAGUUCACUCGUUAGUCCCUCUAUUUGUAUGGCCUAAUACUAAUUUUUAGGUGACUAACAAUUAGUCCUGGCAUGAAAGAGGCUCUUAAGUCCAGCAGCUACGUUACCGUACGUUUUUGUUGCUCUACAUAUAGAUGGGUCGACCCAUUCUGGAGGCCAGAAAGCAGCUUCGUUCCAGAGGUAGCCGUUCUCUUCUCCCACAAAGCUGACAAGCUGAUCGAUGGCUGCCGCUUCUUCCUUUGGCGACGACUCUGACCUCAUGGUUGCCGACGACAUGUACUUGAUAGCAGUUUGCCAAGGAAGAAACCAAGCAGACGCCACCGGGCUCAUGGCGAUUUCCGACGAGGAGUACGCCGCGGAACUCCAGCUUCAAGAGGUGAUCUUUGUUUCCUCCGCCAUGGCGAUGAUUGUUAAUUCCACCAUGGCAGCGACUGCGGCACAAUCGUCGCUCAUGCCGCAGCUUGAUAGCGCCAUCGUCGUCGUCGACACCGCCAACAAUGACACAACAGCUGCUGAGACGCCCGCCGUAGCUGAGUGCAGCUCCUCCUCCUCCUCGCCUCCGCCAUCUCUUGCAGUUGCAGCCCCUGCCACCGGGGAACAAGACGACGCAACUGCGGUGGCAACUUGCAAGAUCUGCCUGGACUACGUGCCACCGUCGCACGUGCACCACGCAAGUCGCGGCUGCGCGCACGCCUUCUGCGCAGCCUGCCUCUCCGGCUACAUCAGCGCAAAGACCCAAGGCGGCCGCAUCUCCGACGUCAAGUGUCCCGGGGACGGGGAGGACUGCUGCAACGUCCUUGACCCCGAACUCUGCCAAGGCAUCAUAUCCGGCGAGGCUUUCGAGGCCUGGUGCGCCGCACUAUGCAUGUCCAUGGUGGAGGGAGGCAGCAACUUUUGCUAUUGCCCCUUCGACGACUGCUCGGAGAUCUUGGUGGACGAUCGUGGCGGCGACGUGCCGGAGUCGGAGUGCCCGGCGUGCAGGAGGCUGUUCUGUGCACGGUGCCGCGUGCCAUGGCACGCUGGCAUUACCUGUGCCGAGUAUGGCCAAUUAGCACCUGGGGACAAGGGGAAGGAGGACUUAGUGGUGCUGGAGAUGGCCAAGGGGAAGAAGUGGAAGAGGUGCCCCCAGUGCAAGUACUUGGUCGAAAAACACGACGGCUGUGUGCACAUAACUUGCAGGUACUUUAGAUUGGAUGGUGUAACUUCGAGCAGUUAAUUUACAUUCUUGUACAUACAAGAAAGUAUGUACAACCCACUAGCUUAGUUGGCUAGCUGGGUUCAGUAGCACCCCACAGGUCUGGGUUCGAACCCUGGUUGGGGCGAAUUUCUGCCUGUGGGUUAAAAAACCCCCCCUUGCUGUGGUCGCCGCGAGGCUUGGCCCUCUCGGGCAUGGGUCAGGGUUCGAGUGGUUUCUCGGCCGGGAGAAGCCGGGUUGCUUCCUCUUAAUGAAAAACGGUGUGGCUUCCAGUUCUGCUAUGCAUGUGGCAAUCCGUGGGGACAGCUUGAUCAUUCCUCUUGCAACACAGCGUGAAAGCUGAUUUUGCUCAUAAUCCGGCGGUGGAAAGCGAAUGAAGUUCCACGAUCCAUGCAGUCAAACUAUUUUUAGUUAUAUAUGGCACAUGCAGCCCAACUAUUUCUCGUCAUAUAUGACACUACCGCAGAAGUAAAAACUAAUAAGUGUAGUUCAAUAACACAUGUAGUCAAACUAUUUUUGAUUUUAUGAGCUAUGUAUGUCAUUGUGGUAGUACUACAUAAAUUUCUAUCAUAAUUUUUUAAAUAAAUUAUGAUAGAGAUUUUUAUAGUAGUGCUAUAAAGACAUACAUAGCUGAUAAAAAGCAAAAAUAGUUUGACUGCAUGUAUUAUAGGCCUACACAUAAAAGCAAUUUUUUGCUCUUAUGUGUAGACCUAUCGUACAUGCAUUUAAACUAUUUUUGCAUUUAUGAACUUUGUAUAUCUUUAUGGCGCACUACUAUAGAAAUGAAAUAAAUUAUCUUCAUUGCAGUA